CACGAGAGGUCAGGCAGCCGUGGUCCGCAAGGGCCAAGGAAAGUCCGAACUCCACAGGGCAGGAUGCCCGGUAACACCGGGGUUCUCGCUGCGUUACGCGCGGCGGGAAACGGAAAGUGCCACAGAAAACAUACCGCCCACCUGCGGCCGGUCAUGACCCGCCUCUGGUGAGUAAGGGUGAAAAGGCGCGGGCUCCGUCAGGAGCCCGGUCCGCCGGCCGCGAGGCAAGCGGACAGGUAAGAGCUCACCGCCUCUGUGGUAACGCAGAGGGCACGGCAAACCCCAUCCGGAGCAAGACCAAGCAGGAAGGACCCUCGCUUCCCUCCGGGGAAGGGAGGACGAAGUGGCGCCGCUUCGCUUUCGUCCGCCGUUGGUGGAUCAAGAUCUGCCGUUGGUGGAUCAAGAUCCGCCGGAGGUGGACGAACGGACUUCCGGGUAGGUCGCUUGAUUCCAUCGGUAACGGUGGAACCAGAGAAAUGGCUGCCUCUCCCCGUAUGAUCGACACGCGGGGACAGACAGAAUUCGGCUUAUCGAUCCUCGUGGCCG
rnacentral:RNase_P_RNA from 1 species